CAGUUCCCCCCGCCAGGGGCUCCCUGUUAACGUCGCUUCGGCCUCUGCUUUCCCCUCCGGCGUUUCCUCCGCGUUCCCUUCUUCCCCUUUACCGGAGGCGCCUCAGGGAACAGGGUUGGUCGGUUGCCCGUUUCGCCGCAGCAGUAGAGCAGCAUAUCUGGUCGUCUCAUGGGGCAGGCGGAGGCCUCCACGGAGGAGCUGCUCAGGGCGAAGAAGCCGGGGCAAACCCCUGAGGCUGUUGCUCAUGGCGGUGGCGGCAAGAAGGCCGGCGAGGAUUCGCCUUCGCCCUGAGCGGGUUGGAAGAGGUUUGGGCUGAUCCCUCAUUGCAGUCUCUCUCUGCACGUGCUCCGUAUUGCGGUCCACAAAGAGACGGCAGAAAUUCAACAGGUGAACCACCGCGUGCCUGUUUCCAUAGGAGCCAAACUUCACACGUAGUACACUUCACCUAUAUACCUGUGUGCAUUCUUUACAGCCUCAAUACAGAACUUUGCUAUUCCCCACACCCCUCCCGUUGAUUUUAAUAUUUCAUUUCAACCCAGUUUCCCAUUUUAUCAAGGCCAUUUUGAAUGUCAUUCCUGCCUUCUGGUUUGUUUAUCAAAACCAAUUUUGUGCAAUCUGCAAACUUCUUUUACAGAUUUCCUCCACUCUAUAACUUAAAAACCAUUAAUAAAAAUACUGGAAGUACUGGACUCAGGGCAAAACCCUGUGGCAUUCCACUUGAAAGCUCCCACAAAGCACCAUCAAAUGAUAGGUUGCUUCUGUGUCCACAGAUAUGUUCUGUGACUUAUGUUUUUAUCAUCUUUUGUAAAAAUCAUGAGAAUCUGUGCCUUGAACCAUUGGUUUUGUGCUAGUAUCAGAUCUGUGAUUUUUACUGUAUGAUCUUCCACUGUAAGCUUUAAUUUGCUGGUGAUUUGGGGGAAUACUGGGUAAAAUCAUGCACAUUCAAAAGGAUUAGCUUUAAUUUUAGUUUUAUAUCUUUUAUCCCAACUCUAUGGAAAAGUUAAUAAAAUGUAUUUUGUUCUAUCUAUCUAGAGAGGCAAUCAGAGGGGACAGUCACCACGGAUUGGCAAUUCUUUCACUAGAUGCACUUUUAAAAGCCAUUGAGAAUUAUUUCUUGAAUCAUCCUGCGUUAUAAUUCAAUUUAAUCUUUACCUUUUAUUUCCUUUAUUCUAGUCAGAUGAGAAAGGAUGCCAAAUCCCAAAUUAUGAAGAAUCUAUCAUACUGCUUUUGUUCUGAAAAUUUGUAUCUUAUGAAUAACCUACAUGCAACUCAAAAGCACAUAACUAGUAUGCUCCAAUAAAAUAUAUUGUACUUAAAAACUCCA